rnacentral:rRNA from 1 species
AUUGAACGCUGGCGACAUGCCUUACACAUGCAAGUCGAACGGCAGCACGGGUGCUUGCCCCUGGUGGCGAGUGGCGAACGGGUGAGUAAUACAUCGGAACAUGUCCUGUAGUGGGGGAUAGCCCGGCGAAAGCCGGAUUAAUACCGCAUACGAACUACGGAUGAAAGCGGGGGCCCUUCGGGCCUCGCGCUUUGGGGUUGGCCGAUGGCUGAUUAGCUAGUUGGUGGGGUAAAGGCCUACCAAGGCGACGAUCAGUAGCUGGUCUGAGAGGACGACCAGUCACACUGGGACUGAGACACGGCCCAGACUCCUACGGGAGGCAGCAGUGGGGAAUUUUGGACAAAGGGCGAAAGCCUGAUCCAGCAAUGCCGCGUGUGUGAAGAAGGCCUUCGGGUUGUAAAGCACUUUUGUCCGGAAAGAAAUCCUUGGCCCUAAUACGGUCGGGGGAUGACGGUACCGGAAGAAUAAGCACCGGCUAACUACGUG